UACGUAGGUGGCAAGCGUUGUCCGGAAUUAUUGGGCGUAAAGCGCGCGCAGGCGGUCCUUUAAGUCUGAUGUGAAAGCCCACGGCUCAACCGUGGAGGGUCAUUGGAAACUGGGGGACUUGAGUUCGGGAGAGGAGCGUGGAAUUCCCAGUGGUAGAAGGUGAAAUUCGUAGAUAUUGGGAAGAACACCGGUGGCGAAGGCGGCGCUCUGGACCGAGACGUGACGCUGAGACGCGAAAGCGUGGGGAGCAACAGGGA
rnacentral:rRNA from 1 species